AGAAAAAUAGAAGACAACAACAACAGAAAAUGAAAAAAAAAAAAAAAAGGUUGUCUGAAGAGAAAAAAGCGAUUCGACAUCAUAGAUCUGAUUCAAUCCUCUUUCGGAUCAGACAACCUCUAUUUCCAAAUUGAAAAACCCAGAGUAAGAUCCAUCAUCAAUCUGUCUUAAUGGAGUACCGGAUGUCGUCUUCAAUUGAUAAGAGAGCGUUUCUUCUGAGCAGCGAAAUCUAUAAACGAAUAUGGGUGUUCUUUAUAAGGAACUCUAAUGACUUCCACUCAACCAAAGAUAAGUAACCCUAAACCCAUUUCUUGAUUUGUAAAUACGUAUGACUUUUCUAUCUAAAAACUCUAAUCUUUUUGUUUUUUGAUAUUACCUGGUCAGGGUUAAAUUACUUUCAUUAAGAAGAAGUGAAACAACCCGACCCCCUUUUUUUUUUUAACAAUUAAAUACAAUGUAUAAUUAAGCAUCCCAUACUACUUAAUUAACCAACCCAAACCACAACUCAACAUUAAACCAGCAAUAACAUUAAGCACAGCGGAAACAUACCAAUAAUACAAAACCAACAACAUCAUCAAU